rnacentral:rRNA from 2 species
GGGGAAUUUUGGACAAUGGGGGCAACCCUGAUCAAGCCAUCCCGCGUGUGCGAUGAAUGCCUUCGGGUUGUAAAGCACUUUUGGCAGGGAAGAAAAGGCUCUGGUUAAUACCUGGAGCUGCUGACGGUACCUGCAGAAUAAGCACCGGCUAACUACGUGCCAGCAGCCGCGGUAAUACGUAGGGUGCAAGCGUUAAUCGGAAUUACUGGGCGUAAAGCGUGCGCAGGCGGUUCGGCAAGAAGGAUGUGAAAUCCCAGGGCUUAACCUUGGAAAUGCAUUCUUAACUGCCGGGCUAGAGUAUGUCAGAGGGGGGUAGAAUUCCGCGUGUAGCAGUGAAAUGCGUAGAGAUGCGGAGGAAUACCGAUGGCGAAGGCAGCCCCCUGGGAUAAUACUGACGCUCAAGCACGAAAGCGUCGGGAGCAAACA